AGCUUUGCGCAGUGGCAGUAUCGUAGCCAAUGAGGUUUAUCCGAGGCGCGAUUAUUGCUAAUUAAAUGAAAGAGAUCACUCUCCAUAAUGUGGGUGGGUCUCAACCAAUCAGUUGAAAGGAAAUUCAAGACUACAGCAUCAUCAACUCCUCUCUGAGUUUCCAAUAUGCUG
rnacentral:snRNA from 1 species